UUAAAUACUAAGGGAAGGAGAGUGCCAGCAGCCAGUUGUGAAUUUCUCCUCAUAAACACAAUUUUGUAUGCAUAAUUUUGACUAACAUCCAUACCUUUGGAAGCAGUUUUCCCCAAUGCAUUUAUGUAUGUUAUUGUUAACCGAUACUCAUUUCUAUGCACACUUUCUCCUAACAUAUGCAUUUUUGUAAAUAUUGUGCAGUUGGAAAACUGCACUGCAAAAUUCAUAGAAUUGCUAAUUUUGAAGGAUGGCUGUGUUUCAAUUCUCCUAUUGUUCCAGAAAGUGCAAUUUAGGUAUGUUCCCCUUUAAAUGUGAACUGAAUCUAAUUUCUUCCCCAACUCUAAUGAAGUCUGGAACCCUAGGGAAAAAAGUCAUUGGACUGGAUUACUUCAAGCCCAUUAAGAAUGUAGCAGUUACUCAUGUGAAGCAGGUAUCAUAUGCCUGCAUUGACACAUUUCUUUACACUAGACACCCAUUCAGCCACAUAUUGUUGGUUAUGCUGUAAAAGAAUUAUCAAUCCACCAGUGGAGUCCAAUCAUGUGACUGUUUACUGAGAAGUAUGACCCAGCAGGCUCCUCUUAUGUUCUUAUGCUAAGCAGGAUUGUCUUGAAUGCCACCCCAGACUCCUAUUCAGAUGGGUUUGUUGAGGCAUGCCAACACUCCCAAUUCUCCAUAUGGUGGCUGGUUCACAUGAAGCCUUAUUUGUGACUGCACAACACAAACUUAAAGCAUCGCCAUAUGUCUCAGGCAUUGCCCUGUUUUGACUGGGCUGAAAAAAGUGCAGCUAACUCUGGAAUUGGUUUUAGUUUUAAAUGCUGCUUUUUCUCCUUGGCAACAUAUACUCAUGGGCUCUCUGUAGCAGAACACAUCCAUAAUCGCCUCAUUCCUUUUACAGUGGUACCUCGGGUUAAGAACUUAAUUUGUUCUGCAGGUCAGUUCUUAACCUGAAACUGUUCUUAACCUGAGGUACCACUUUAGCUAAUGGGGCCUCCCACUGCCACUGCGCCACCGCCACGUGAUUUCUGUUCUCAUCCUGAACCAACGUUCUUAACCCGAGGUACUAUUUCUGGGUUAGUGGAGUCUGUAACCUGAAGCGACUGUAACCUGAAGCAUCUGUAACCCGAGGUACCACUGUACAGACUUAAUCUGCAAUGAAUAAAUUGUGCAUCGGGGCCCUUAGGUGAAUGUCGCCAAGGAAAUUAGAACAUGGAAAUCAUGCAUUUGUCUCUUUAAACGCAUUUCUACUAGUAUUAAUUUUUAAGACUUUGCUGGGAAUCUCCAAACAUAAAAUCCACUGCUGGCAAUGGAUGUCUUGAUGGUCAUUAAUCGUCCUGAGAAUGACUAGGAAGCUAGUCUUUGUUGCCUGCACAGGCAUGGAAGGUUAAAUUGAUGUGCACUUGUUCUUUUCCUUUUUCUCUUGGAAAGUAUGUAAGUUGUGGGAGAAUUGCUCUUUGAGGCUGUUAUUUUAAUCUCUGGAUUUUAAAUAGAAAUAUAAUAUUUUAUAAAUCAUGUAUUUACAUAUUAUGCUGUUCUUGAAACAUCUGAAAUUGAAAUAUUAAAUGAGAUUUGAUGGAA